AUAUCACUGAUUUGUAAAAUACAAAUGCAACAGUGUAUAUAAAAUUUCUAAUGUGCUAUCUUAAUAAGAAAGUACUCAAAGAUGUGAAGUAAAGAAUCAUCACUGAGUGGAGGUCCUUUUCAGUUCAGUUCAGUUCAGUCACUCAGUCGUGUCCGACUCUUUGCGACCCCAUGGAUCACAGCACGCCAGGCCUCCCUGUCCAUCACCAACUCCCGGAGUUCACUCAAACUCACAUCCACUGAGUCGGUGAUGCCAUCCAGCCAUCUCAUCCUCUGUCACCCCCUUCUCUUCCAGCACCCAAUCCCUCCCAGCAUCAGAGUCUUUUCCAAUGAGUCAACUUUUCACAUGAGGUGGCCAAAGUACUGGAGUUUCAGCUUUAGCAUCAUUCCUUCCAAAGAACACCCAGGGCUGAUCUCCUUCAGAAUGGCCAGCCCUUUUCUCAGGAGCCCUGUCACUGGCACCAUCCCCACAGUUAAUCCCCUUAAUCCCCAUGAAUCCCACAUGCUCUGUAGUUGCCAAGUAUCCUACCAAUCUCAGGAAGUUACAGAGCUAAAGGCUAUUCUUGAGGAGCAGGUAACAAUGGGGAGCACUCACCCAACAUUCUGUGGUUACCUGGUACUUAAUAAUUUGAGAAGGCUCCACAGAGGCUCCCCCACCUCAACCUGGCACUCAGAGGAACUGCCACCUCACACCAUGAACACAACUCGGCACCAUGGGAAGCAGGGGAAGUGUUGGAGCACAGGUUACACCUCGAAGGCUCCGUGGAUUAGUGAGAUGCUCCGUGUGAAGGGUGGAAACCAUCGCCCGGGAUCCAGUCUCCGUAGGCCUGGGUUCAAAUCCUGGUUCAGCCUGUCAUCAUCACGGGAAGGAGCAGCCUCACGUCUCAUCCACCCGGGACUUGCGGGUGGUCUCUGCAUCUGGAAGCACCCCCUCCCGCUGCUGCUGUGCCCGUCACCUCCAGACACUCCCUCCUGCUCGUCUUCUGACUCCUGA
rnacentral:lncRNA from 1 species